rnacentral:rRNA from 2 species
UUAAGCGACUAAGCGUACACGGUGGAUGCCCUGGCAGUCAGAGGCGAUGAAGGACGUGCUAAUCUGCGAAAAGCGUCGGUAAGGUGAUAUGAACCGUUAUAGCCGGCGAUGUCCGAAUGGGGAAACCCAGUGCAAUUCGUUGCACUAUCGUUAACUGAAUACAUAGGUUAACGAGGCGAACCGGGGGAACUGAAACAUCUAAGUACCCCGAGGAAAAGAAAUCAACCGAGAUUCCCCCAGUAGCGGCGAGCGAACGGGGAGCAGCCCGGAGUCUGAAUCAGCUUGUGUGUUAGUGGAAGCGUCUGGAAAGUCGCAGGGUACAGGGUGAUACUCCCGUACACUAAAACGCACAGGUUGUGAACUCGAAGAGUAGGGCGGGACACGUGGUAUCCUGUCUGAAUAUGGGGGGACCAUCCUCCAAGGCUAAAUACUCCUGACUGACCGAUAGUGAACCAGUACCGUGAGGGAAAGGCGAAAAGAACCCCGGCGAGGGGAGUGAAAAAGAACCUGAAACCGUGUACGUACAAGCAGUAGGAGCCCACUAGUUGGGUGACUGCGUACCUUUUGUAUAAUGGGUCAGCGACUUAUAUUCUGUAGCAAGGUUAACCGUAUAGGGGAGCCGCAGGGAAACCGAGUCUUAACUGGGCGUUAAGUUGCAGGGUAUAGACCCGAAACCCGGUGAUCUAGCCAUGGGCAGGUUGAAGGUUGGGUAACACUAACUGGAGGACCGAACCGACUAAUGUUGAAAAAUUAGCGGAUGACUUGUGGCUGGGGGUGAAAGGCCAAUCAAACCGGGAGAUAGCUGGUUCUCCCCGAAAGCUAUUUAGGUAGCGCCUCGUGAACUCAUCUUCGGGGGUAGAGCACUGUUUCGGCUAGGGGGUCAUCCCGACUUACCAACCCGAUGCAAACUACGAAUACCGAAGAAUGUUAUCACGGGAGACACACGGCGGGUGCUAACGUCCGUCGUGAAGAGGGAAACAACCCAGACCGCCAGCUAAGGUCCCAAAGUCAUGGUUAAGUGGGAAACGAUGUGGGAAGGCCCAGACAGCCAGGAUGUUGGCUUAGAAGCAGCCAUCAUUUAAAGAAAGCGUAAUAGCUCACUGGUCGAGUCGGCCUGCGCGGAAGAUGUAACGGGGCUAAACCAUGCACCGAAGCUGCGGCAGCGACACUAUGUGUUGUUGGGUAGGGGAGCGUUCUGUAAGCCGUUGAAGGUGGCCUGUGAGGGUUGCUGGAGGUAUCAGAAGUGCGAAUGCUGACAUAAGUAACGAUAAUGCGGGUGAAAAACCCGCACGCCGGAAGACCAAGGGUUCCUGUCCAACGUUAAUCGGGGCAGGGUGAGUCGACCCCUAAGGCGAGGCCGAAAGGCGUAGUCGAUGGGAAACAGGUUAAUAUUCCUGUACUCGGUGUUACUGCGAAGGGGGGACGGAGAAGGCUAUGUUGGCCGGGCGACGGUUGUCCCGGUUUAAGCAUGUAGGCGGAUGUUCCAGGUAAAUCCGGAACGUUACUAACGCUGAGGUGUGAUGACGAGGCACUACGGUGCUGAAGUGACAAAUGCCCUGCUUCCAGGAAAAGCCUCUAAGCAUCAGGUAACAUCAAAUCGUACCCCAAACCGACACAGGUGGUCAGGUAGAGAAUACCAAGGCGCUUGAGAGAACUCGGGUGAAGGAACUAGGCAAAAUGGUGCCGUAACUUCGGGAGAAGGCACGCUGAUGGUAAGUGAAGCGACUUGCUCGUGGAGCUGAAAUCAGUCGAAGAUACCAGCUGGCUGCAACUGUUUAUUAAAAACACAGCACUGUGCAAACACGAAAGUGGACGUAUACGGUGUGACGCCUGCCCGGUGCCGGAAGGUUAAUUGAUGGGGUUAUCCGUAAGGAGAAGCUCUUGAUCGAAGCCCCGGUAAACGGCGGCCGUAACUAUAACGGUCCUAAGGUAGCGAAAUUCCUUGUCGGGUAAGUUCCGACCUGCACGAAUGGCGUAAUGAUGGCCAGGCUGUCUCCACCCGAGACUCAGUGAAAUUGAACUCGCUGUGAAGAUGCAGUGUACCCGCGGCAAGACGGAAAGACCCCGUGAACCUUUACUAUAGCUUGACACUGAACACUGGUCCUUGAUGUGUAGGAUAGGUGGGAGGCUUUGAAGUGUGGACGCCAGUCUGCAUGGAGCCAUCCUUGAAAUACCACCCUUUAAUGGCUGGUGUUCUAACGUGGGCCCCUGAUCGGGGUUGCGGACAGUGUCUGGUGGGUAGUUUGACUGGGGCGGUCUCCUCCUAAAGAGUAACGGAGGAGCACGAAGGUCAGCUAAUCCUGGUCGGACAUCAGGAGGUUAGUGCAAUGGCAUAAGCUGGCUUGACUGCGAGCGUGACGGCGCGAGCAGGUGCGAAAGCAGGUCAUAGUGAUCCGGUGGUUCUGAAUGGAAGGGCCAUCGCUCAACGGAUAAAAGGUACUCCGGGGAUAACAGGCUGAUACCGCCCAAGAGUUCAUAUCGACGGCGGUGUUUGGCACCUCGAUGUCGGCUCAUCACAUCCUGGGGCUGAAGUAGGUCCCAAGGGUAUGGCUGUUCGCCAUUUAAAGUGGUACGCGAGCUGGGUUUAGAACGUCGUGAGACAGUUCGGUCCCUAUCUGCCGUGGGCGCUGGAGAAUUGAGGGGGGCUGCUCCUAGUACGAGAGGACCGGAGUGGACGCAUCACUGGUGUUCGGGUUGUCAUGCCAAUGGCAUUGCCCGGUAGCUAAAUGCGGAAGAGAUAAGUGCUGAAAGCAUCUAAGCACGAAACUUGCCCCGAGAUGAGUUCUCCCUGACUCCCUGAGAGUCCUGAAGGAACGUUGAAGACGACGACGUUGAUAGGCCGGGUGUGUAAGCGCAGCGAUGCGUUGAGCUAACCGGUACUAAUGAACCGUGAGGCUUAACCUU